UACGGGGGGAGCAAGCGUUGUUCGGAUUUACUGGGCGUAAAGGGCGCGUAGGCGGUCAGUGCAAGUCAGUUGUGAAAUCUCCGGGCUUAACUCGGAAAGGUCAACUGAUACUGCUCGACUAGAGUGCGGAAGGGGCAACUGGAAUUCUUGGUGUAGCGGUGAAAUGCGUAGAUAUCAAGAGGAACACCUGCGGCGAAGGCGGGUUGCUGGGCCGACACUGACACUGAGAGACGAAAGCUAGGGGAGCGAAUGGG
rnacentral:rRNA from 1 species